rnacentral:rRNA from 1 species
GACGAACGCUGGCGGCGUGCUUAAUACAUGCAAGUCGAACGGAAAGGCCCUGCUAUUGUGGGGUGCUCGAGUGGCGAAAGGGUGAGUAACACGUGAGUAACCUGCCCUUGACUUCGGGAUAACUUCAGGAAACGGGGGCUACUACCGGAUAGGAGCUCCUGCUGCAUGGUGGGGGUUGGAAAGUUUCGGCGGUGGGGGAUGGACGCGCGGCUUAUCAGCUUGUUGGUGGGGUAGUGGCUUACCAAGGCUUUGACGGGUAGCCGGCCUGAGAGGGUGACCGGCCACAUUGGGCCUGAGAUACGGCGCAGACUCCUACGGGAGGCAGCAGUGGGGAAUAUUGUACAAUGGGCGGAAGCCUGAUGCAGCAACGCCGCGUGCGGGAUGACGGCCUUCGGGUUGUAAAACGCUUUCGCCUGUGACGAAGCGUGAGUGACGGUAAUGGGUAAAGAAGCACCGGCUAACUACGUG